rnacentral:rRNA from 1 species
AAUCAGACUUGGUGCUGUUGUUCAACUGUGUUUCGGCAUAGUGUACUCAGCAGUACUAGGCCAAGGUGGGGUGUUUGGGAGUGAAAAAGAAGUAGGAACGUAACUCUUCGGAGUGUUAUAGCCUACUUUCAUAGCUCCUCAGGCGCCUCAGGACUGCGCUUCGGCAAGGACCUUGGCAUAAUGAUUCUAUACCGCCCGUCUUGA